AUUGAACGCUGGCGGCAGGCCUAGCACAUGCAAGUCGAGCGGAUGAGUGGAGCUUGCUCCAUGAUUCAGCGGCGGACGGGUGAGUAAUGCCUAGGAAUCUGCCUGGUAGUGGGGGACAACGUUUCGAAAGGAACGCUAAUACCGCAUACGUCCUACGGGAGAAAGCAGGGGACCUUCGGGCCUUGCGCUAUCAGAUGAGCCUAGGUCGGAUUAGCUAGUAGGUGAGGUAAAGGCUCACCUAGGCGACGAUCCGUGACUGGUCUGAGAGGAUGAUCAGUCACACUGGAACUGAGACACGGUCCAGACUCCUACGGGAGGCAGCAGUGGGGAAUAUUGGACAAUGGGCGAAAGCCUGAUCCAGCCAUGCCGCGUGUGUGAAGAAGGUCUUCGGAUUGUAAAGCACUUUAAGUUGGGAGGAAGGGCAGUAAGUUAAUACCUUGCUGUUUUGACGUUACCAACAGAAUAAGCACCGGCUAACUUCGUGCCAGCCGCCGCAGUAACAC
rnacentral:rRNA from 1 species